UUCUCUCUCUUCUUCACAUCAGAGAACAUUAUUCCCUCUUCUUCCUCUAUCCGAAAACCCUAAUGCCGCCACCCUCUUUUCGAGCAAUACCAUAUCCAACUGAAAAAAAGCCAUAUUCUUAAUCCUUACCUCACAGUCUUUCUCAUGAACCAAUUGAUUUAUUGUUUCGACUAAUCUCGCCGCUGAACCACCUUCUUCCUCUCCCUCUAGCCAUCGCGAAAACAAGUGUAGAAAGCAGGAAUGUUUAGAUCUCUCCUUCUUUUGGACAAAACUGGACCAUUUGGAGUUGUCACCGCCGCGCCGGCAGUUGUCACCACCGUACCGAAUUUCCUCACGUCACUGCGAGCUUCAUCUCCUCAAUGGUAAGGGUCCCUCUUUGUUAUCAUUUUGGGUUGUGACUGUUGUUAAAUAACCCUUUGUUCAAAAAUCUAAAUUUGUGAUUUGUUGACAAAGGCUGUUACAAAAAUUUACUCACCUUAUAUUUGCUUUUAUAUUGAAUAGGAAAUUCACAAACUUUAGAUUUUGUGUUGAAACCCUAAUUCCUCUUUUCUCUAAAUUUGAUUUGAAUCUCUGUUUGGUUUGAAAUUCCUAUUAACUAACUUACUGUUUUGCAAACCCAAUUUUGGAUUGAAAAUCUUACUCUAUGUUUUUUCCCAAAUCCAAAAUGUAUGCUUUGUAUUGAUAACAUCUUGUUUAUAAAACUGUUUUUCUGUCAAAUCUGCUGGCCUAUCUGAUCAUACUAGUGCUAGCAACCAUUAUCUUUCACAAAUGAUGCAAAAUUUGCAUAAUGUAAAUGGUAUUGUUCACGAAGACACCAGGGUUGAAGGGGAUAAUCAAGAAGAUCAAUUCAUUGUUGAUGGAUGAUGUUUCUGCCAAUUUUGUAUUUCUUUGCCGAGGUAUCCACAAACAUUUCUGCCACCAGAAGUGGCGUAAAGUGCACAUAUUGUUCGACUUCAAUGCAUUCAUUAUUGUACUCUCUUCAAAUAGGUAUUGUUGUAUACUAUGUCCAGUUUAUAUUAGUGUAACUAGUCUUCUAUAUACAUGUUAUUUAACUGCUUCCAUUCAAGCUCACAGUAAUUCAAUGCACCUAAACCAUUAUGUGCUUCCAUUCUUCUCAAAAUUAUGUCUAAUCUAGGAGCCCACUGAACCAUAUUGUAAGGUCUUUGCCUGUAGAAGAGCAGCCAAGUAUGUUUUGUUAAACUGUUGUCAUUUUGGAAGAAGUGUGUAAUUUGUUAAACUGGCAUAGUGAAGCUAUUUGACAGCAUCGAGAAAUAUGGUCGGAUAGGGAAUUUCUUCAUCAAAUUCUACUGCGAACACCAUUUAGGGUGCACGAGCCGGUGCUAGGCAUCUGGAAGUCACCAUUAAUGGGAUUGGUGAAAGAGCUGGAAAUGCCUCCUUGGAAGAGGUUCAUAACUUUGAUGCAACUUUGAUACAAUGGAUUUGUUAGAUAAAAGUAAGGGAGUACCAAUGGAGAGUACACAAUAUUUGCUGAUGUUGAUGUUCCUGCUCUGUUUGAAUCCUCUCUAUCACUGAAGCAUUGUUUUUUUCUCCAUUCCAAAUGAAGGGAUUGAAAACUAUUGGUGACUUAGUGCUAUCUACAUUUACAUUUUGUACAACAUUGAGUCUUAAAGAACUAGUGACUACAAACUGUAAAUUUCUCAUUAUUUGAAUCAGAAAAUCUAUAUUCUCGUCGUUUUUUUUCUUAGGACAAACUAGUGGUUUGAACUAUAUCCCGAGUUCCUUUCGAAUCCUUUCUUCAUUGCUGGAGAGUCAUAUGCCGGAGUUUAUGUGCCUAUUAUUGCCUAUGAAGUAGUUAAAGGAUCCAAAAUGUUCUUUCCACGAAUUUGCCAGCCAUUUCUGGACCGGCUGCUGUUAUAGUAGUAGCUAAUUCAAUAAGAAGGAUCUGAUAAUUAGUUCUGGAAUCUGGGUUACCAAGUUGUGGACUUUGGACAAGUAAAAUUUUUGGGCUCUAAUGAGCAACUCUGGACACAAAACGAACUCUGAACCAAUGAUGAAUACAACCAAUAACGAAAACAACCAAUGAUGAAUACAAGAUGUGUUUACAAGCAAAUAUACAUCUGAAAGCAUCAAGUCAAAUCGUGAAAGGAUCUUAUCCAGAAUGACUGAUUAAAGUCUGUGAAGUCUCAACGUUUUAAAGCUCUCAAGACACUAUGAUCAAGCUUCAGUAACUCAUACUGAGAAGCAUAUGACUCAAGAAGUUAACUAUGAAGAGAGAUAAUAACUCUAAAUUCUGAUUAAGCUUCACCAGUACUUAUCUGAAGCCUAUGAUAAAAAUCUUGUGCAAAAGAAGAUCAUGUGAUAACAAUACAUUAUCCUACUCACCUCCCUGAAAAUCCGAAUAAAGGACUGUACUCUGCACCAUCAUUGCUAUCACAUGUUCCAUCAUCUGUCCUAAUGCUACAAGCGCAAUUGUAGUCUAGUACUAGCUAACGUCUCAAACAGCUUUUUCAUUAUGGAUACUAAUUAUUUUAUUC